rnacentral:rRNA from 1 species
UACGAAGGGGGCUAGCGUUGCUCGGAAUCACUGGGCUUAAAGGGCGCGUAGGCGGGCCUCCCAGUCCGGGGUGAAAGCUUUCGGCUUAACCGGAAAAGUGCCUUGGAUACUGGAGGCCUGGAGGGAGGUAGGGGCAGCCGGAACUUCCGGUGGAGCGGUGAAAUGCGUUGAUAUCGGAAGGAACGCCGGUGGCGAAAGCGGGCUGCUGGACCUCUACUGACGCUGAGGCGCGAAGGCGUGGGGAGCGAACAGG